rnacentral:rRNA from 1 species
GGUUUAGGCCAUACCACCCUGAAUGUGCCCGAUCUUGUCUGACUGCCGAAGCUAAGCAGGGUCGGGCCUGGUUAGUACUUGGAUGGGAGAAAACAGCUGAAGGAUGUAUCU